GGGGGCGGGGCCUUGAGGCCGGGCGCUAGGGCGGCGGAGGUUUCGGCUGCCUCGGCUGGCGUUCGGCUCUCUAGGACCUGUCGCACUGCUCGGGUCGGGGGCAGCUCCCUGUUGUCUCCGAGCAGAGCUGCUUGCUGCUGGGCCUUCAGCGACUGCAAGCAGACCACACCGCCCUCCGGAAACGAUGGGUGUCGCUAGACCCAGCUGGGACUCCGCCAGGCUCCGGGGCUCAGUCUGAGGGCCUUCUCCGAGGCCUGCUCUCCUUGUCUGUCAUGGCCACACUCCGAUGCUGCCCGCCGGUCUGGGCACACAGGGCACCCAGUCCCAGCCCUGAGGGGUUAAGCCAGGCUUUCUGGCUCCAUUCCAUCGGGGAACUGCAGGCCCCAGGCUUCUUUCAGAGCAAGAGCAACUGAUGGCAUGGGAGAAGCCCCUGCCCGCCUGUGCACUCUCCUGGCACUGCCCACUCUGAGACCCAUGCACAGGGUCCUCCUGCAGGUGCCAACCCCGUGAGUCCCUCCCCGUCCCCGAACGCUGAGAAGGCCCUGCCCACCCCCACCAUGUGUGAGGUGAUGCCCACAAUCAAUGAGGGGGACCCCCUGGGACCCCCGCAUGGCGCCGAUGCAGACGCCAACUUUGAGCAGCUUAUGGUGAACAUGUUGGAUGAGCGGGAGAAGUUGCUGGAGUCGCUUCGGGAGAGUCAGGAAACCUUGGCAGCCACGCAGAGCCGGCUCCAGGACGCCCUGCAUGAGCGGGACCAGCUCCAGCGCCACCUUAACUCCGCCCUCCCCCAGGAAUUUGCCACAUUAAACCGGGAGCUGAGCAUGUGUCGUGAACAGCUUCUAGAGCGGGAGGAAGAGAUAUCAGAGCUGAAAGCAGAACGGAACAACACAAGGCUGCUUCUGGAACAUCUGGAGUGCCUAGUGUCCCGCCACGAGCGGUCCCUGCGGAUGACUGUGGUGAAACGCCAGGCCCAGUCACCUUCGGGGGUCUCCAGUGAAGUGGAGGUGCUAAAGGCCCUCAAGUCCCUGUUUGAGCACCACAAGGCCCUGGAUGAGAAGGUACGAGAGCGGCUCCGGGCAGCGCUGGAGCGAGUUACCACCUUGGAGGAGCAGCUGGCAGGAGCCCACCAGCAGGUGUCUGCCCUGCAGCAGGGAGCAGGGGUUCGGGAUGGAGUGGCAGAAGAGGAGGGGACUGUGGAGCUGGGACCAAAACGCCUAUGGAAGGAGGAUGUGGGCCGGAUAGAGGAGCUACAAGAGCUCUUGGAGAAGCAGAACUUUGAGUUGAGCCAGGCCAGAGAACGACUGGUCACCCUGACAGCAGCUGUGACAGAGCUUGAAGAGGACCUGGGCACAGCCCGCCGGGACCUUAUCAAGUCAGAGGAGCUGAGCAGCAAGCACCAGCGUGACCUCCGUGAGGCUCUGGCCCAGAAGGAGGACAUGGAGGAGCGAAUCACCACCCUAGAGAAGCGCUACCUGGCUGCUCAGCGUGAGGCCACAUCCAUCCAUGACCUCAAUGACAAACUGGAGAAUGAGCUGGCCAACAAGGAGUCCCUACAUCGCCAGUGUGAGGAGAAGGCCCGACACCUGCAGGAGCUGCUGGAGGUGGCGGAGCAGAAGCUGCAACAGACAAUGCGCAAGGCAGAGACACUGCCGGAGGUGGAGGCUGAGCUGGCCCAGAGGAUUGCAGCCCUCACCAAGGCUGAAGAACGGCACGGAAACAUAGAGGAACAUCUGCGGCAGCUGGAAGGGCAGCUGGAGGAGAAGAACCAGGAGCUGGCAAGGGUGCGCCAGCGGGAGAAGAUGAACGAGGACCACAACAAGAGGCUGUCAGACACUGUGGACCGGCUGCUUAGCGAGUCAAACGAACGCCUGCAGCUGCACCUCAAAGAGCGCAUGGCAGCCCUGGAGGAGAAGAACACGCUGAUCCAGGAGUUGGAGAGCUCUCAGCGCCAGAUCGAAGAGCAGCAUCACCACAAGGGCCGCCUGUCUGAAGAGAUUGAGAAGCUAUGUCAAGAGGUGGACCAGCUGAAGGGUCGAGGGGGGCAGUUUGUGGAUGGUAUCCACUCCAGGUCGCACAUGGGCAGUGCAGCAGACAUAAGGUUCUCCUUGAGCACCACCAUCCGCGGACCCCCAAGUGUGCAUCGCCGCUAUUCCACCCGAAGGGAAGAAUCAGCCAAGGACUGGGAGCUGUCUCCACUGCCUGGUAUGCUGGCUCCCAAGGCCACUGCUGCCUUUGACAGCGACCCUGAGAUCUCUGACAUGGAAGAGGAUGAGCCGGGGGCUCUUGUGGGCUCUGUCGAUGUUGUCUCUCCCAGUGGCCACUCAGAUGCCCAGACUUUGGCCGUGAUGCUGCAGGAACAACUGGAUGCCAUCAAUGAAGAGAUCAGGAUGAUCCAGGAAGAAAAGGAGUCCACAGAGCUCCGCGCAGAAGAGAUUGAGACGCGUGUAACCAGCGGCAGCAUGGAAGCCCUUAACUUGACACAGCUGCGGAAGCGUGGUUCCAUCCCCACCUCACUGACUGCCCUGUCCCUGGCCAGUGCAUCUCCUCCACUCAGUGGCCGCUCCACACCGAAGCUCACCUCCCGCAGUGCUGCCCAGGACCUGGACCGAAUGGGGAUCAUGACCUUGCCCAGUGACUUAAGAAAGCAUAGGCGGAAGCUGCUGUCGCCAGUGUCUCGGGAAGAGAACCGAGAGGAUAAAGCCACCAUAAAAUGUGAGACUUCUCCUCCUUCCUCACCCAGGACGCUGCGGCUAGAGAAGCUUGGCCACCCAGCCCUGAGCCAGGAGGAAGGCAAGAGUGCCUUGGAAGAUCAAGGCAGCAACCCCAGCAGCAGCAACAGCAGCCAGGACUCGUUGCACAAGGGCGCCAAGCGCAAGGGCAUCAAGUCAUCCAUUGGCCGGCUGUUUGGGAAGAAGGAGAAGGGCAGGCUGAUCCAGCUGAGUCGGGAUGGAGCCACAGGCCAUGUUCUGCUCACAGACUCCGAGCUCAGUCUGCAGGAGCCUAUGGUGCCUGCUAAGUUGGGGACCCAAGCAGAGAAGGACCGGCGGCUGAAGAAGAAACACCAGCUGCUUGAAGAUGCCCGAAGAAAAGGAAUGCCCUUUGCCCAGUGGGAUGGUCCCACAGUGGUCUCCUGGCUGGAGCUCUGGGUGGGGAUGCCUGCUUGGUAUGUGGCAGCCUGCCGGGCCAACGUCAAGAGUGGUGCCAUCAUGUCCGCCCUGUCAGACACAGAAAUCCAGCGGGAAAUUGGCAUCAGCAAUGCCCUGCACCGGCUCAAGUUGCGGCUGGCCAUCCAGGAGAUGGUAUCACUCACCAGUCCCUCUGCCCCUCCCACCUCGAGAACGUCUUCCGGGAAUGUCUGGGUCACCCAUGAGGAGAUGGAGACUCUGGCAACGUCCACCAAAACAGACAGUGAGGAGGGCAGCUGGGCUCAGACCUUGGCCUAUGGAGACAUGAACCAUGAGUGGAUUGGGAAUGAGUGGCUGCCUAGCCUGGGGCUCCCCCAGUACCGGAGCUACUUCAUGGAGUGCCUGGUGGAUGCACGCAUGCUGGACCACCUCACCAAGAAGGACCUGCGUGUCCACCUGAAGAUGGUGGACAGCUUCCAUCGAACCAGUCUUCAGUACGGCAUCAUGUGUCUGAAGAGGCUGAACUAUGAUCGGAAGGAAUUGGAGAAGAGGCGGGAGGAGAGCCAGCAUGAGACCAAGGAUGUGCUGGUCUGGACCAACGACCAAGUGGUUCAUUGGGUCCAGUCCAUUGGGCUUCGGGACUACGCGGGCAACCUUCAUGAGAGUGGUGUCCACGGUGCCCUGCUGGCCCUUGAUGAGAACUUUGACCACAACACCCUGGCUUUGGUCCUGCAGAUCCCCACACAGAACACCCAGGCCCGCCAGGUGAUGGAGAGAGAGUUCAAUAACCUUUUGGCCUUGGGCACAGACCGGAAGCUGGAUGACGGGGAGGACAAGGUGUUCCGGCGCGCGCCCUCCUGGAGGAAACGCUUCCGGCCGCGGGACCACCACAGCAGCGGCCUGCUCGGCGCCUCGGCCGAGACCCUGCCGGCCGCCUUCCGCGUGUCCACCCUGGGGCCCCUGCAGCCCCCCGCGGCCCCGCCCAAGAAGAUGCUGCCCGAAGCCGGGACGGCGGGGGCGCAGAGACUGGAGACCUCCACGGUUCGGACCUACUCCUGCUGACCCCCCUGCCUCCCGCCCGCCCCGGGUCCGUCGGGGUGUGCCCCCGGCUCGGGCUCACUCCCACUAUCUCUACGGACACAUGCUCUCCGCCUUCCGGGACUAGCCAUGGCCCUCAGGGCUGGCGUCUACCUGGUUUCACAGGCCCAGCCGGCCCUGACCUUUCCUGCUCGGUCCCUUAUCUCCCGCGACUCCUAGUCUCGUCUGUGACUUUCCAGUUGCCCUGGAUCUCAAGAAUAUACUCAUCCAGCCCCUCGGCAUCCUAGUACCCCGACUCCCACUGCGUGUCCUUUGUAAGUCUCCUGGAUGUGGCCGGGGUCUCCCGCUGUAGUGUAGGUGCCCUGGUUGCCCAUGCUUGGGAUUCUCCGGGAGGGAGGAAGGGCAGCCCAGGGUGGGUAUGAUGCCACCCAGGCUCUUCUGGACCUAUUUCGGGCUGGACUUCACCCUCCUCCAAGGUCAGGAUACUGGGCCAAGGACCGAGAUGGUGCAUCCAGGAAAGGGGCACUGCAGACUCUGUUCUGCUUGAGUUAUGCUGCCUCGUGGUCCCUGGCCACUCUGGUUCUUGUACCAGGUGGUCUGAGGUUGAUUUUGACACCUCCAACAUCAUACUUCCUCUAAACCAUCACCACAAGUUGAAAAUCCUGCCUUUAGGACUUGCUUGGGGGCUGAAGAGAUGUAGGAGAUCACAUUUUUUCUCAUAAUGGCGAGGCCAGGAGAAGAGCUAAAGUAGAAAUUCGGGAACUGAGCUUACACUGAAUCCUAAAUGUGAGUUUAGGAAGAGUCAAGAGGAGAUGAACCUCAGAGCAAUAGGCCAGGGUGACAGAGGGUGGGGAAACUCUCAGCCCUUGCUUGGUGAGAAGUGUAAGCAAGCAGGAGGGAGGGCUGAUGGCCUCUGGUAGCCUGAAGCCCAAAGGGCGGUUGGAAUGCCCCCACCCUGGAGGGAUCUCAGCCCCAGAGGCAGAACAGAUCUAACUGUGCUGCUAACUCUACCACCAGCAAUCUUUUCCUGCUGUCCCACUCACUCCCUAAUCUCAGCCUUAUGAGAGUAAACCUCAUGGGAGGACUGAAUAUGUGUUGACCCUAAAAUCAGGUUUGGGAAAGAGGCAGUCUGGAAUUUCCUUCCUAUGACCUGCCAGGGAGAAAAUAAAGCUUCCUUUUCAUUGAAUCACGUCCCUGAUUCAGGAAAUCCAGUAUUGAAGGCAGUUAUACCUCCUUAUCUUCAAAUCAUCCAGCCCUUGACUGGGUUGUCCUGGGACUGCUUUCUCUCUAGAAAUUCCUCAGACCCACCCAGCUUCCGUCACUUUAAUCUCUCCCUAGCAGCAAGGUAGGAACUGGGUUAGAGGGAUGCAGGUGCUGGUUGGGAGGACUGUUAUUCCCAAGAAAUUCCUCUUCUUCACCUAUUCUUCUAAUUUAAUAGGGGGCUUAAAAAUGUUUGGGAGGAUGAUGGGACAUUGGGCUUCCUUGGAGAGGAGAGGAAAAGCAUCAGGCACGUUUAUUGGAAAAGGUCCAGCACAAUGCCAUCCUACAGGUGGCUGGAGCAGCUGGUUUGUGACCUGAUCCAUUUGGGUUGAGCAAGGGCUGGACUAGCAGGUGGGGCAGUAGGCCAAAGCACCCGUCCAGAGGAGGGAUAGAGAGCUGUGCCAUGUCUUAGAGCCUGUUGCUGCUACCUGCUAGAAGAGAGCCCAGUAGGGUAUGUAGGUAGACUCUUGCCUGGGCUGGGGCAGGCAGCCACCUGCCCUUGCUCUUGUUCCUUGUUUACUGCCCUUCCUGUCAGGCCAUUGGGAAUGACAGUAGAAAAUUAUUGAGCAGAAAAUGAAUUGGAUAGAGAGAAAGAGCCCAAUGUCAGGGAAAUGAAUGCUGAAAUUAGAGAGAAAGUCCAGGUUCCUAAGAUUGGUGGAGUUCAGCACUAAAAGGCCAUCUGACUGCUUCAGGGGACUGCCUGUCCAUGGGGUAGGCAUAAAGGACGGUCAGCCCCAGCUUGUCCUCCCUACAACAGCCAUGUCGUAAUGCAGCAAGUUGGGGGAGCCAGGUCCAUCCAGGGCCCCUUGGGAAGGACUGCAGUGAGGGGACGGAGGAGAGGAAACUGCACAGUGAUGGAUGGCUGUUGUCUCGGUGUACCCUUGCCUCAUAGUUGAUGCAUUUUCUUUGGAGAGUCACAGUGACCCAAGCCCUCCUCGCCAGCCUCCAUGUCUCCCCAGUUCUUCUCUGUACUGUAUUGGCUCAGUGCAUUGGAGCAGGUGUGUGGAUGCGUGUGGGGUGUGAGUGUGGGUGUGUACAUACCAAUAAACAACCUGGUUUUAAGACAACAUACAAA